rnacentral:rRNA from 1 species
GCGAAAGUCCCGCAAGGGGCAAGUAGAGUGGCAAACGGGUGAGUAACGCGUGGGCGACCUACCUUCGAGUGGGGGAUAACCUUCCGAAAGGAGGGCUAAUACCGCAUGACAUCCCGUGUUUGGAUACACGGACAUCAAAGUCGGGGAUCGCAAGACCUGACGCUUGGAGAGGGGCCUGCGUCCGAUUAGCUAGUUGGUGGGGUAACGGCCCACCAAGGCUUCGAUCGGUAUCCGGCCUGAGAGGGCGGACGGACACACUGGGACUGAGACACGGCCCAGACUCCUACGGGAGGCAGCAGUAGGGAAUUGUUCGCAAUGGGCGCAAGCCUGACGACGCAACGCCGCGUGGAGGAUGAAGACCUUCGGGUCGUAAACUCCUUUCGACCGAGAUGAAUACCCACCGACCUAAUACGUUGGUGGGCUGACAGUAUCGAGGGAAGAAGCCCCGGCUAACUCCGUGCCAGCAGCCGCGGUAAUACGGGGGGGGCAAGCGUUGUUCGGAAUUACUGGGCGUAAAGGGUUCGUAGGUGGCCCACUAAGUCAGACGUGAAAUCCCUCAGCUUAACUGGGGAACUGCGUCUGAGACUGGUGGGCUUGAGUGCAGGAGAGGAACGCGGAAUUCCAGGUGUAGCGGUGAAAUGCGUAGAUAUCUGGAGGAACACCGGUGGCGAAGGCGGCGUUCUGGACUGCAACUGACACUGAGGAACGAAAGCCAGGGGA